rnacentral:rRNA from 1 species
CCUACGGGAGGCAGCAGUGAGGAAUAUUGGACAAUGGGCGCAAGCCUGAUCCAGCCAUGCCGCGUGCAGGAAGAAGCAUCUAUGGUGUGUAAACUGCUUUUGUACAGGAAGAAACACUCCCUCGUGAGGGAGCUUGACGGUACUGUAAGAAUAAGGACCGGCUAACUCCGUGCCAGCAGCCGCGGUAAUACGGAGGGUCCGAGCGUUAUCCGGAAUCAUUGGGUUUAAAGGGUCCGUAGGCGGUUUAAUAAGUCAGUGGUGAAAUCUGGUCGCUCAACGAUCAAACGGCCAUUGAUACUGUUAGACUUGAAUUAUAAGGAAGUAACUAGAAUAUGUAGUGUAGCGGUGAAAUGCUUAGAUAUUACAUGGAAUACCAAUUGCGAAGGCAGGUUACUACUUAUGGAUUGACGCUGAUGGACGAAAGCGUGGGGAGCGAACAGGAUUAGAUACCCUGGUAGUCCACGCCGUAAACGAUGGAUACUAGNUGUGUAGCAUNUGUAGUGNGAGAGAAGAGAGUAAGUAGUACC